rnacentral:rRNA from 1 species
GAUUAACGCUAGCGGCAGGCAUAAUACAUGCAAGUUGAACGGCAGCACAGGUAGCAAUACUGGGUGGCGAGUGGCGCACGGGUGCGUAACACGUAUGCAACCUACCCUAUACAGGCGAAUAACCGUUAGAAAUGAGGGCUAAUACGCCGUAGUAUUACAGAUGGGCAUCUAUUUGUAAUUAAAGAUUUAUCGGUAUAGGAUGGGCAUGCGUCCCAUUAGUUAGUUGGUAAGGUAACGGCUUACCAAGACGAUGAUGGGUAGGGGAUCUGAGAGGACUUACCCCCACACUGGUACUGAGACACGGACCAGACUCCUACGGGAGGCAGCAGUAAGGAAUAGUGGGCAAUGGCCGCGAGGCUGACCCAGCCAUGCCGCGUGCAGGAAGACGGCCUUAUGGGUUGUAAACUGCUUUUAUACUGGAAUAAUAGAGUGUACGCGUACAUUUAUGCCAGUAUCGUAUGAAUAAGCAUCGGCUAACUCCGUG